GACGAACGCUGGCGGCGUGCUUAACACAUGCAAGUCGAACGGAAAGGCCCUGCUUUUGUGGGGUGCUCGAGUGGCGAACGGGUGAGUAACACGUGAGUAACCUGCCCUUGACUUUGGGAUAACUUCAGGAAACUGGGGCUAAUACCGGAUAGGAGCUCCUGCUGCAUGGUGGGGGUUGGAAAGUUUCGGCGGUUGGGGAUGGACUCGCGGCUUAUCAGCUUGUUGGUGGGGUAGUGGCUUACCAAGGCUUUGACGGGUAGCCGGCCUGAGAGGGUGACCGGCCCCAUUGGGAAUGAGGAUCCGCCCAGACUCCCACGGGGAGGAAGAGGGGGGGAUAUUUGCCAAAGGGCGGGAGGCCUAAGGCAGAACCGCGGGUGGGGGAAGACGGGCUUUGGGGUGGUAACCCGCUUUGGCUUGUAAGGAGGCUUGGGUGCGGGUAAUGGUAAAGAAGCACCGGCUAACUACGUG
rnacentral:rRNA from 1 species